AAAUUGGGAGAGCAAUAGUAUUGGUAAAAAUGUCAUUGUCACCUAGGGUAGAAAUAUUACUUACAUUUCUAAGCCUUUUCUGAUUUCAUUCUUGCUAGAACAGUGUUUCAACCUAUAAAAAGCAGACUCUUUGCAAAAUUUAUAACCACAUUGAGAAGCACGUCACUUCAGAGAAGCAACGUAAAACUGUGUGAAAUACUAAUGUUUAAAUGCUCUUUCAAAAACAUUUAUUGUCAUUCUGACUGAACUGGAGGGAGAAGGCAGACGAAAAGUUUGUAAUAGCUACUUGCCUGAGUUGGUAGUGUCUGAAUAUGGGAUUUUGCCUAGUUUAUUUUAAGUCUGCACAGCUAGCAGCUGGAGUAUGUCCCACAUGCUAACACUUGGAAUUCCCCUGGGAGAAGGUUUGUUUCAAAUGCAACAUCAGCCCUCCAAAGCCAGUCUUCUUGCUGUUUUAUUAAAUUUACACACUUCUUCAAUGCAUUUUCAAUGAUAACGCACCUAUACUGAGCAAUCGAACCUACUAGCCUACUUAAUACAAACCGUUUUUUGAUUUAAAUGCAAUCUAUUAACAAUAUCUACUUGCACACACACACACCCCUGCCAGAUACUGAACAGAUGCAGCCUUGCAGACUUGCACAGCAGCUGUGACAACAACUGAUGUCACCUCCUUUGCAGAAAUUUCCACAAAUGUCUUCCAAAGGCCAAGUUAAAUGAGAUAGAGCUUAUCAGUUUCUUUAAAGUGGCCUGGAUGAGCCUGGCCCACGUGACCCCUUGCUUGGCCACGGGGGUGUGGUAUGUCACAGCUCCCCUAUCAGCUGGCACAUGGCUGUGGGAGAUAUGAGACAGCAGAAAAGUAGCAGUAAUAACAUUGCUGCGACUGCCGAAGGCAGGAGGAAUACGCUGAGUAGCUUCAGUCUGCGCACACUUACUUUUCGGAAAACAGGUUCUACCAGAAUGUCUACAUGGGCCUGUUAACACAGAGGAGAGCCUUAAGUUCUUACCUCAAGUUAGUUACCAUAUAUUAGUUGAUGGAUGUUGGUAAUGCACCUUUUUUCUUAGUGAAUACGCCACUUCAGUUCCUGAAUUUAUAUGCACUUACCUCUCCUGAUGUCACCAUUCCACUGGGCUUCAGUAACAGAGUUUCCCUCAGUAAACAUUUCUGAUUUUCAAAGGCUGUAUAUAUGCAGGGGAACAAAAAACAGAAAAAAAAAAAUCCUUUGAGCAAAGACAGACACUUUUCAGGCCUUUUUUUAUACUUCAGAAUUUAGAGGGUUGCUUU
rnacentral:lncRNA from 1 species